UCUCAUUCUUCUGAUUACUUAGGAGAAGCUUUGCACCCCAUUGCCAGUUGUCUGCUAUGCACAGUAUGCACAAAGGAAAGUUACCUUGAUAAGUGAGAAAAAGCAGGUUAUGGAGCAAGACCAAGACAAACGAGUAUGGAGUAUCGCCUGAGCAGACAACACUUUUGCCCUGCUGGAAGCCACUGUGAUGCUGGGUGGCACCACUGAACUCUUCUUACCAAGGACAUGGACAUGGUUAAUCUUCAGACCAGCUGGUGCCUAGAAGUGGAGGGUAAGUCACCAGCCCUGAGCAUGGAGGUAGCUACAGAAUCCUGGGUGCUGGACCUGCAGAAUUCAUGGAUAUGGGGUCAGGAGAGCCUCACUGCUGCUGCUAAGUAUGUUUGUGAGAACAGGCAAGGAUGCAAUGCCGGGGAGUGGCCAGCACUAUGGCUUCUGCUGAAUGACGAAGUGUGGAAGGACACCUCUCUGGGCUACUAGGCUGGAGGAGAAAAAGAAGGCACGAAUCUGUGUACACUUGCCAUUUUCUGUUUCUCAUUGAUCAAAAUUUACCCAAGGGGAGUUCUCUUUCUCCCAGUAGCUCUGGACUGUGUUGCCUGGCUAGGCUGGCAGCUGCCUGGAAAACCAGUUCCCAGGCACCAGAGUGGAGCUCUUCAUUCAUGUCUCCAUGAUGACUGGUCACUGCUAAGGCAAAGCAAGAGGGCCUGGUACUAAGAAACAGAUGAGUCCAAGAGGGUCUGAAAAGGUAGGCGGACAUUUAUGUCCAACAUAUUCAGGCUAAGCAGUCAUUUUAACACAGAGUAUGAACAUAUGAGUUUUGAAAUGAAGGCAGUGUUUAACAUCUAGUUCCUGGUAUGAGGCUACAGUCAUAACAGAUAUUCAAUCUUGUAUAAGUGAUAAUAUUUACAUUUGCUAGUAGAAUUGAUUUAGGGCAAGUGUUUCCUUUUUCAGGAUUGUUUUCUUGACUACGUAACAUAUAGUAAUAUAUUUUUUUAAAUAAAUUCUUUUCAAUGUUUUUCA
rnacentral:lncRNA from 12 species